GGUGAUACCUCAGUGAUAGAGCAUCUGCCUUGCACGCAGAAGGUCCCAAGCUCAAUCCUCAACAGCACCU